rnacentral:tRNA from 1 species
GGGGAUGUAGCUCGUAUGGUAGUGCGCUCGCUUUGCAUGCGAGAGGUACGAGGAUUGAUACCCCGAAUCUCCA